UGCCUCAUAGUAUCGAUAUACUUGCGUC
rnacentral:sRNA from 1 species